rnacentral:rRNA from 1 species
UGGGGAAUCUUGCGCAAUGGGCGAAAGCCUGACGCAGCAACGCCGCGUGGGGGAUGAAGGCUCUCGGGUUGUAAACCCCUUUCAGCAGGGACGAAUCAAGACGGUACCUGCAGAAGAAGCCCCGGCUAACUACGUGCCAGCAGCCGCGGUAACACGUAGGGGGCAAGCGUUGUCCGGAUUUAUUGGGCGUAAAGAGCUCGUAGGUGGCUGAGUAAGUCGGGUGUCAAAGCCCCAGGCUCAACCUGGGAUCCCACCCGAUACUGCUCUGGCUAGAGUCCGGUAGGGGAGCGUGGAAUUCCUGGUGUAGCGGUGAAAUGCGCAGAUAUCAGGAGGAACACCAGCGGCGAAGGCGGCGCUCUGGGCCGGUACUGACACUGAGGAGCGAAAGCGUGGGUAGCAAACAGG